UUAUUAUGUGUAUAUGAAUACACAUGCAUGCAUGCAUUUAAGAAAAUAUAUAUUUGUAUAUUCAAGAUAUUCAUAUAAAUAUAUACACGUAAAAACGAUAUAUAUAUAUAUAAUACUUAAGUGUGCAUUUAUACAUGAUAAACACGCACAACAAACACGUUAUAUAGACAAAAACUUAUUCUGGAUGUGAUUUAAUCGUUUGACAGCACUGGAGAAAAAGAUGUCAACAUUUAGUUUAUGCCUUUUUAUUAUAAUUCAGAAUUUAUCAGUUUUGUUUGUUUUGUUUUUUUAACCCCCACCGUGAAAUAAUAAAUUAUUAUACCGAAAAAAAAAACAACUAAAUAAUUGUGACUUUUGGAAAAAUGAUCAGAAUUCGCUCAAAACACAUAAACGCAAAAUAAAAGGCUUCCUUGAGGAUCAUUUUCUAGCAGUACAAUCGCUGAAUGAUUGCAUUUUGAACCAUGUAUCUUUUUUUGCAUUAUAAUAAUGAAUGUUUAUACACAGGAUCGGGGUUAUGUAUGUAACUUUAAUGAAUAUAUAAUAUUUAUUCAAAAUAUAAUUUCUUAUUUUUUUUUUAAAUGAACGCGUUUGAAGAGACCGACCUCACGGUGAGCGGUAUAUGACGUCAGCUCACAGAAAGGCGCUUUUGUGACGAAAGGGCCCGUGACGUCACGCGGUUAACAGACGCACGCGGCACGUUUCCCUCCCUGACACGCCCACCCGCCUGUCUUUAGCAGGUCAUGCGCGAGCCGCUCCUCGGGGUCCCGCGCCCUUCUCGUCGCUGAAAGCUGGAGGCUAUUAAUAUCUCCUGACGAGAAAACGCUCUUAAAGUGUCUGCGGUCGUCGAGCCGUUAAAGAUACAGGUUUUUCUGAGGAGACCUCGCUGGGAAAGAGCUACUAGAGGAGAGCACUGCUAAGCAGAUGGACGCUGUACGUAUUGAGGGGUGGCAUAACGAACCCAGGCCGGCGGACUCGAGCUCUUGGAGGUGAAGAGGGAGCUGGAGAGAGGAGAGCUGACACUGACAGCAACCGCUGGACAGAGCCUGGGCCAGACGAGACGACACGGGCCCCAGAAACGGACUGGAGUAAAGAUCUACCACCGGCUCAAAAGCCCCCAGACGGCAGUACAGAAGCAAAAGCAGCAGUUUGAACUGAGCGUUAGAGGAACUGUGGGAGAGACCUUCUUCUAACAGCCCCAGACACUGCCACAACA